rnacentral:rRNA from 1 species
AUACGGAGGGUGCAAGCGUUGUUCGGAAUCACUGGGCGUAAAGCGCACGUAGGCGGAUUGGAAAGUUGGGGGUGAAAUCCCAGGGCUCAACCCUGGAACUGCCUCCAAAACUAACAGUCUAGAGUUCGAGAGAGGUGAGUGGAAUUCCAAGUGUAGAGGUGAAAUUCGUAGAUAUUUGGAGGAACACCAGUGGCGAAGGCGGCUCACUGGCUCGAUACUGACGCUGAGGUGCGAAAGCGUGGGGAGCAAACAGGAUUAGAAACCCCAGUAGUCC